rnacentral:rRNA from 1 species
UGGGGAAUAUUGGACAAUGGGCGCAAGCCUGAUCCAGCAAUGCCGCGUGUGUGAAGAAGGCCUUCGGGUUGUAAAGCACUUUUAUCAGGAGCGAAACGCUGUCGGCUAAUACCCGGCGGAACUGACGGUACCUGAGGAAUAAGCACCGGCUAACUUCGUGCCAGCAGCCGCGGUAAUACGAAGGGUGCAAGCGUUAAUCGGAAUUACUGGGCGUAAAGCGUGCGUAGGCGGUUUCUUAAGUCUGCUGUGAAAUCCCCGGGCUCAACCUGGGAAUGGCAGUGGAUACUGGGAGGCUAGAGUGUGCCAGAGGGUGGUGGAAUUCCCGGUGUAGCGGUGAAAUGCGUAGAGAUCGGGAGGAACAUCAGUGGCGAAGGCGGCCACCUGGGACAACACUGACGCUGAGGCACGAAAGCGUGGGGAGCAAACAGGAUUAGAUACCCUGGUAGUCCACGCCCUAAACGAUGCGAACUGGAUGUUGGUCUCAACUCGGAGAUCAGUGUCGAAGCUAACGCGCUAAGUUCGCCGCCUGGGGAGUACGGUCGCAAGACUG